rnacentral:rRNA from 1 species
UACGUAGGUGGCAAGCGUUGUCCGGAUUUACUGGGCGUAAGGCGCACGCAGGCGGUCUGCUAAGUUUGGAGUGACAGUUGGUGGCUUAACUGCCAAAGUGCUUCGAAAACUGACAGACUUGAGGGCUUCAGAGGGACACGGAAUUCCGGGUGGAGUGGUGAAAUGCGUAGAGAUCCGGAGGAACACCAAAGGCGAAGGCAGUGUCCUGGGGAGUACCUGACGCUCAGGUGCGAAAGCCAGGGGAGCGAACGGG